ACGCACGCUGGCGGCAUGCCUAACACAUGCAAGUCGAACGAGACCUUCGGGUCUAGUGGCGCACGGGUGCGUAACGCGUGGGAACCUGCCCUUAGGUUCGGAAUAACUCCCCGAAAGGGGUGCUAAUACCGGAUAAUGUCUUCGGACCAAAGAUUUAUCGCCUUUGGAUGGGCCCGCGUUGGAUUAGCUCGUUGGUAGGGUAAAAGCCUACCAAGGCGACGAUCCAUAGCUGGUCUGAGAGGAUGAUCAGCCACACUGGGACUGAGACACGGCCCAGACUCCUACGGGAGGCAGCAGUGGGGAAUAUUGGACAAUGGGCGAAAGCCUGAUCCAGCAAUGCCGCGUGAGUGAUGAAGGCCUUAGGGUUGUAAAGCUCUUUUACCCGGGAUGAUAAUGACAGUACCGGGAGAAUAAGCUCCGGCUAACUCCGUG
rnacentral:rRNA from 1 species